rnacentral:rRNA from 1 species
CCGCGGUAAUACGGGGGGGGCAAGCGUUGUUCGGAAUUACUGGGCGUAAAGGGCUCGUAGGCGGCCAACUAANUCCGACNUGAAAUCCCAAGGCUUAACCUUGGAACUGCGUCGGAUACUGGAUGGCUUGAAUUCGGGAGAGGGAUGCANAAUUCCNGGUGUAGCGGUGAAAUGCGUANAUAUCUGGAGGAAUACCGGUGGCGAAGGCGGCAUCCUGGACCGACAUUGACGCUGAGGAGCGAAAGCUAGGGGAGCAAACGGGAUUAGAUACCCCGGUAGUCCUAGCCCUAAACGAUGAAUGCUUGGUGUGG